UACGUAGGGUGCAAGCGUUGUCCGGAAUUAUUGGGCGUAAAGAGCUCGUAGGCGGCCUGUCGCGUCGGCUGUGAAAACCCGAGGCUCAACCUCGGGCCUGCAGUCGAUACGGGCAGGCUAGAGUUCGGUAGGGGAGACUGGAAUUCCUGGUGUAGCGGUGAAAUGCGCAGAUAUCAGGAGGAACACCGGUGGCGAAGGCGGUUCUCUGGGCCUGUACUGACGCUGAGGAGCGAAAGCGUGGGGAGCGAACAGG
rnacentral:rRNA from 1 species